GUGUCUAUUAUUGUCUUUACAUUGGUGUUAAAGGGAUGUUAAAUCUUCAAAGGACUUCGACAGCUAUCAAGCUUCUUCCUCAUGCGUGUCUCUGUCUCAUGACUCGGUCUGGAACAACGUUUGAUGAUAAAUACGGGGGCGUCUUUGCUGCUGCUCUCUCUGCCCCGGGAUUUCCAUGUGUGCAUAUGGAUGGGCAAGGAGGUGCACCACCCGCCUUAUGGCUUUCCCACGCAGGCCCAUGGAAGGGCCGAGAGGUGUGCUCUCCCUGUCCUAUGGCUUUACACGUAGCCAUGUCUAAGGGCGGGGAGGUGCGCUCCCAACCUCGUGGUCCACGAAGGCACAUGGAGAGGCAGGGGGGUCCCAGAACAGAGCCACACAGCCAAACCUAACUACUGCAAGCAAAUAAAGUCUUUGAUCCUAUCUAAAUGAUUAUUCUUGCCUGACCUUUGCUGAACAGGGACCUUCUCUGCCUUGAUGUCUGCAUCUGGGUCCAAUCCCUUGUGUUCCUGUACUCUGCUUUAAUUAACCAGGACAGUACAAACUAAACAAAAAUUGGCUUUUUAAGACAUGAGAUCUUUCUUGAAGCUUAAAGAUGAAUGUUCUAUUAAUGAGAGAUUAACUACCUGGACACUGUUUGUGUAUUCUUAUAUGGAGAAAAUAAUUUUGUCAAGACCCACACUUUUGAACCCGUCUGACGCUUCCUGCUCCCCAGUGUUUCGUACUUAUGCUUUGUUUUUGGACAUUCUGCCUUAAUUGUUAGAUUUUGGAUUAUCUGCCUGCUCCUUUAGUUUUGUUUGUUCUUGCUGGACUGCUUUCCUGGUUUUGACCAUUGCCUGUCUCACCUUCCUGUAAAACGUUUUAAUGUAAUAAUCAAAUUUCAUUGAACUGAUCCUGGCCAAUCCCUUGGUUUCCUGUUCCCCCCUGACUGUGAUAAAACAUUUGUGAUUCAGUAAAGACUUACUAUUUUCUAUUUCUGACCCCUUUAAACCUGCCUAACAUGCAUGAGUGUUUCUGUUACAAUCCAGUGGGAGCAUAUAUUUAUGUAACUGACAUGGUAACAUGGUACAAAAUAAAUAAUACAAAUGUAUUCUA